CCACAUUUAUACAAACUCAACUCUUUCUACUUCUUAUUUAAAGACAUUGUCUGAAUUUAUUUAUUAUAAACCGAUAGCCUCAUCUUUUAUCAAAUACGUCGAACACAAAACAUUUGAAGUACUUAAAACUUUGAAGACCCUCAAAAACGAAAGUGACAGAACUCAUAGAACCGGAAGGUCACUAUUUUGCGAGGUGAACUUUGCCCAUAGAAAAUUGUGAGAUAAAUUAAAAUACACCUCCACAAUUUGCAGUAAAAAUGAUAUAUCAGAAUCACUGGCUACUGAGUAAACUGUCAUUUUUACAAAAUGACAGUUCAACAACAGAGUCCCUUUCAAAGUUU
rnacentral:lncRNA from 1 species